AACGCGAAGAACCUUACCUACCCUUGACAUGCCAGGGAGCCCGAUGAGAGUCGGGUGUGCCCGAAAGGGAGCCUGGACGCAGGUGCUGCAUGGCUGUCGUCAGCUCGUGUCGUGAGAUGUUGGGUUAAGUCCCGCAACGAGCGCAACCCUUGUCACUAGUUGCCACGCUAAGGGCACUCUAGUGAGACUGCCGGUGACAAACCGGAGGAAGGUGGGGAUGACGUCAAGUCCUCAUGGCCCUUAUGGGUAGGGCUUCACACGUCAUACAAUGGCGCAUACAGAGGGUUGCCAACCCGCGAGGGGGAGCCAAUCCCAGAAAGUGCGUCGUAGUCCGGAUUGUUCUCUGCAACUCGAGAGCAUGAAGUCGGAAUCGCUAGUAAUCGCGGAUCAGCAUGUUGCGGUGAAUACGUUCCCGGGUCUUGUACACACCG
rnacentral:rRNA from 1 species